CCUACGGGUGGCAGCAGUGGGGAAUAUUGCACAAUGGGCGCAAGCCUGAUGCAGCCAUGCCGCGUGUGUGAAGAAGGCCUUCGGGUUGUAAAGCACUUUCAGCGGGGAGGAAGGCGGUGAGGUUAAUAACCUCAUCGAUUGACGUUACCCGCAGAAGAAGCACCGGCUAACUCCGUGCCAGCAGCCGCGGUAAUACGGAGGGUGCAAGCGUUAAUCGGAAUUACUGGGCGUAAAGCGCACGCAGGCGGUCUGUCAAGUCGGAUGUGAAAUCCCCGGGCUCAACCUAGGAACUGCAUUCGAAACUGGCAGGCUAGAGUCUUGUAGAGGGGGGUAGAAUUCCAGGGGUAGCGGUGAAAUGCGUAGAGAUCUGGAGGAAUACCGGUGGCGAAGGCGGCCCCCUGGACAAAGACUGACGCUCAGGUGCGAAAGCGUGGGGAGCAAACAGGAUUAGAUACCCGAGUAGUC
rnacentral:rRNA from 1 species